GAGUGGCGAACGGGUGAGUAAUACAUCGGAACGUGCCCAAUCGUGGGGGAUAACGCAGCGAAAGCUGUGCUAAUACCGCAUACGAUCUACGGAUGAAAGCAGGGGACCGCAAGGCCUUGCGCGAAUGGAGCGGCCGAUGGCAGAUUAGGUAGUUGGUGGGGUAAAGGCUCACCAAGCCAACGAUCUGUAGCUGGUCUGAGAGGACGACCAGCCACACUGGGACUGAGACACGGCCCAGACUCCUACGGGAGGCAGCAGUGGGGAAUUUUGGACAAUGGGCGCAAGCCUGAUCCAGCCAUGCCGCGUGCAGGAUGAAGGCCUUCGGGUUGUAAACUGCUUUUGUACGGAACGAAAAGUCUCUUUCUAAUAAAGAGGGAUCAUGACGGUACCGUAAGAAUAAGCACCGGCUAACUACGUGCCAGCAGCCGCGGUAAUACGUAGGGUGCAAGCGUUAAUCGGAAUUACUGGGCGUAAAGCGUGCGCAGGCGGUGAUGUAAGACAGUUGUGAAAUCCCCGGGCUCAACCUGGGAACUGCAUCUGUGACUGCAUC
rnacentral:rRNA from 1 species